rnacentral:misc_RNA from 1 species
GAUGAAGAACGCAGCGAAAUGCGAUAAGUAGUGUGAAUUGCAGACUUUAGUGAAUCAUCGAAUCUUUGAACGCACAUUGCGCCCGCCAGUAUUCUGGCGGGCAUGCCUGUCUGAGCGUCAUUUCAACCCUCAUGCCCCUAGGGCGUGGUGUUGGGGAUCGGCCAAAGCCCGCGAGGGACGGCCGGCCCCUAAAUCUAGUGGCGGACCCGUCGUGGCCUCCUCUGCGAAGUAGUGAUAUUCCGCAUCGGAGAGCGACGAGCCCCUGCCGUUAAACCCCCAACUUUCCAAGGUUGACCUCAGAUCAGGUAGGAAUACCCGCUGAACUUAAGCAUAUCAAUAAGCGGAGGA